AGGUGUUUCAUCAACAGGAACCCAAAGGUCACUGUCAGCAUUUUAAACACCUGACUGAAACAGGAGAAGUUGCAGCCCAGCACAUACUGUGGGCCUCAAUCUAUGUGGAUCCAACAGUGUCACAGCACACACUGUGGGCAUGAAUUUAGGCAGAACCAAACAGAUGAACAAUAGAUGAACUGGAGCUACUCAAAGGAGAUCCAGGCUUGUCUGGGUGAUUAAAGCUGGAUUGGUGUUCUGUGAGCAGCUCUCCUGGACACAGUACGUGCUCAGCUAAUGUGGGACAGUUUCAUUAUCUGCAUGAACUGGUGAUGUGGGCAUUGCUGUAGAAGAGAAAGCAAGCAAAGGGUUUUCAAGCUGCAUCCCCUGCCUGUGUGACACAGAUGGACAUUGCCAGCAGAAAUGGUUCACGAGAGGAAGAGGAUUUCCGUUCAUCUUUCCAACUGAAGUUGAGGUCCUAUGAGUGCAUGGACAUUGGAAGCCAUAUGUGUUUGGAUGUUGACCAUGGAGAUGAACCACAGGCUCACCCCUGAGCCACCAGAGAGAGAAAUAUGUAUGGCUGACUACUUGCUAACCUUACAUCAGGAUAUACAAUCUGUUUACACACAUUUAACAUGGCUGAACACCUUGCCACACCCAUUCA